AGAUUUAUUUUUUUGCUCCACCCACUUCUUAUUUUAUGGGCUCCCUGAUCUCUGGCUGACUCAUAUGUAUCUUAAAUUCCUAAAGAUGAAUAAAAUCAAGUUCUGUGAAGUAACAAUACUAGGCAAGGAAUUAUAUAUCUGAAAAUUUUGGUUAAUUUCCUUAAAAAGAAAAAAAGUCACCUGUUUUUCCAGAACAUCUUUCUCCCUUGCCUUUUGUUUUUACUCAGGAUUGAUAAAUGGGCCUAAAUCCUGAUGCUAUAAUAUCCUUCAUGAGCUGUGGUGCAACUGCAGUGUCAGCGCUUGAGAGGAAGAAGGGCCGCUAAUUAAAGGCCAGCUUAGGUUAUAUAUUGAGGCCCCGUCACUACAUAAAUAAACCAAUGAAAGAAUAUUCUUUUGGCUCACUUUUUAUUCCUCUUGAAAUGUUUAUCAGGUACGCGUCGCGUGUUUGCCCCUCAGCUUUCUGUAAUGGUUCUGUGCUGUCCGGAGCGAGAAGGUAGGUACUUAGUAUUACUAAAAGUUAUAUUUUCUCACGGUGAGAGCCCUCACACAAACUUAGAACUCUGAGUUCCUAACUACAGUUUUUAAGCCUUUUCCCCGAGGGAGCUCACCUGUGUGACAGACCUUACCUGAAGAUCGGGCCUAGUCUCCGAUGCAGGAGCCUGGGGAGACUCUCCGGCCGCAGGGCGGCUCAAGGUGUCACUCCAGGUGUGCAGCGAAAGACCGAUGCUCUCUAUCUCCCUCCUUAUAUACUCACUGUCCAGCGGGCGUCAUGGGAUUCUUGUCCUGUGUCUGGUUAUCUUAGCGACUGAUGUCAUUGGGGGCUGGUUAUCAGGUACAGCCUUGGGUGUAGUGGAGGUCCUGACUAAGCUGUUUUUCUAAGACAAAGGGCAUUUUUUUUCCUACUAGCCUCACUACAUUCCGAAAAAUGUGGUUGUGUUUUUUAAAGUAAGGAGUAAAACAUUUCACUUAGGCUUCACAGCGCAUAAUGAUAUAGCCCUGAGGUGGUUUUUUUUUUUUUCUUUUUUAAAUUUCUUUAUGUACGUGUGUGGCCUGUGCAUUUUGCGGCUGAAGUUCACCUUAAUUUAGGUGUUUUCCUCUAUUGUGGUCCACCUUAUUUUCUAUGGAAGGAUCUCAGUGAACUCGGAGUUUGCUACAUGGGCUACUAUCUUGUCACUGAGCUUACAGGAUCUGCCUGUUUCUACCAACAGUGCCCCCCUUGUAACACGGGGGUUAUAGAUCUGUGCCCCAUUUUCAGCUUUUAUAUACGUGCUGGGGAACUGAACUUAGGCCCUCAUGCUUGAGCAGCAGACCCCUACAUCUCCCGAGUCAGACUAUCAAUUUUUAAUAUUUUCUGUAUUUCAGAUGUUGUAUUAAAUCCUUCCCAUAGGUAUUUCUUUUUCUCAACAAAAUUCUACUACACUAUAAUCAGCCAAAAAAAUAGGUUUUGGUUACUAAUUAUAUGUAUUUGUACACACAUGGGUGAAAGGUUUUUAAAAAGCUUUAAUUUUACUGUUUUUAAUGAGGUAUACAUCUACAUGUGUGUAUGUGACAUGUGUUCAAAAGGCAGAGGCACUGGGUCCUCCGGAGCUGGAAUUACUGGCUGUUCUGAGACACCUGACAUGGAUGCAGGGAACCUAACUUGGGUCCUCUGGUAGAGCCAUCUCUCCAGCCACAACCGUGAAAGGUUUUUUUAAAGCAGUUCUCCAACUCAGACAAAUCAGAAGCAUCAGUGAAACCAGAGAUGCUUCAUCUACAUGUGUGUCUAUGUAUCCUGUAUGUGCCUCGUAUCCCCUGAGGCCAGAAGAGGACAUAUAGGUGUUCCAGUCUCAGAUCAGAACAAACUUUAGAAGUAUCAAGUAGAAGUUGGACAGAUGGCUCAGCAGAUCACUUCAAAGAACUCAGUGUACCAGGCCCUUGUGUCCCCAUGACUUACAGUGAUACAGCAACCUGCUCUAUUCUGACCUUUCCUGUAGCUUUACUGAAUAAUCCCAUGGAAGAAAAAAAGGAAGCACAAAAGGCCAUGCAUUGAGUUCCCUUUUGAAAAUGUGUCACAACAACAUUUGGAGUCCUCUAAAACCUACUGAAGUGCCAACAUCUUAACGUCAAAUUCUGUGACAGAGCAGAUUUGAGAAAUAUAUCUUCCAAAUAGAAGACAAUUAUGUAUAUUAAAAGUGUUGAAUGCUCUGUAGUAAAAGCUUCAGGUAAUAGAUUGCCUGAAAUGAAAUAUCCUUUUGUCUGAUUUCAUCUACCAACUCAAGUGUGCCCAGCAGUGAGGAUGUUCCAGAGUCUCUCAUUCCCAACACUGGAGAAGUCCAAGGGAGAUUUACUGGGACCAUUUUACAAAUAAAGAACCAGAGGCAUGCAAAAUAUCUCAUAAGGAAUUAAAAAUGACAGGGGAGCCAAGUGCUGGAAGGCUAGAGAAGGAAGCUAGGAGAUAAUGCCCAGUAUAAAAGGUGGACUGUGAAGACGGGAUAGAGUAAUAAAUAUGAAAGUGAGACAGGGAGAAAAGAAACUGGAGAUGGGGCAGAAUGCUCAAUGGAAGAUGGAGAGAAAUGGGGCUAGCAAACAAGAGUGAGGAAGAACACCACCUCAAGCCUACCAACUCUGAAGUGCCUGAUGUUCAAGACAAAUUCCACCAAUCAGAAGAGAUCAGAUGUAAACUUUCAGCUACUGUUCUGAUGUCAAGCUUGUCUGCCUGUUGCCAUGCUCCCCAUCAUGAUGAUCGUGGACUCAUCCUCUGAAACCCUCCAGAAUGAAAGGAGUAGUCAUCGCCCUCUCCACUACCAUCAGUAUAGUGCAGCAGUGAGGAGCCAUGGACAACAUCUCCUCCAACAUCUCGGCCUUCCAGUCUCUGCACAAUGUUAUGCUGGGCUUGGACUCAGCUGGCAGACCAAGGUGCUGUACCGGCUCAAUUUCAACGUGUUCGUGAACACAGUGUCCACCAGCUUCAACACCGAGAAGAUCAAACUGUGCAACAGCACUGACGAGGACUUCAGCUGCCACUUCUGGGAAGUGAGCGGCCAGGAGAAGCUACAACCACUGUAGAAGCUGUGGCCGCUGUGGAAGUCCUUUAGCUGCUGCACAGAUAGCAUCAUCUAUGUGGUGGAUUUGGUGGACGUGGACCAGCUGGAGGAGGUCAAUUUGAUAUCUUAAUGCAAUUGCACUAAAUUAUAUAAGUUGUGUUGGUUGUAGUGGCACAUGCCAGUAGGAUUUGCUAAUAAAUAUAAAUUGCACUAAAUAAAUAAAUUGCACC
ensembl:processed_transcript BC065397 cDNA sequence BC065397